GCUGGGCAUGGUCGUGGGUGCCUAUAAUCCCAGCUACUUGGGAGGCUGAGGCAGGAGAAUCACUUGAACCCAGGAGGUAGAGGGUGCAGUGAGCCAAGAUUGCACCACUGCACUCUAGCCUGGGUGACAGAGCGAGACUCUGUCUCAA
rnacentral:SRP_RNA from 1 species